rnacentral:piRNA from 1 species
UCACGAGAACUGCGUAUAUUGCACGAGA